rnacentral:rRNA from 1 species
GUCGAACGGACUCAUAUUGAAACCUAGUGAUUUAUGAGUUAGUGGCGGCACUGGUGAGUAACGCGUGGAUAACCUGCCGUAUACCGGGGGAUAACACUUAGAAAUAGGUGCUAAUACCGCAUAAGCGCACGGCUCCGCAUGGGGCAGUGUGAAAAACUCCGGUGGUAUACGAUGGAUCCGCGUCUGAUUAGCUAGUUGGCGGGGUAACGGCCCACCAAGGCAGCGAUCAGUAGCCGGCCUGAGAGGGUGGACGGCCACAUUGGGACUGAGACACGGCCCAAACUCCUACGGGAGGCAGCAGUGGGGAAUAUUGCACAAUGGGGGAAACCCUGAUGCAGCGACGCCGCGUGAGUGAAGAAGUAUCUCGGUACGUAAAGCUCUAUCAGCAGGGAAGAAAAUGACGGUACCUGACUAAGAAGCCCCGGCUAACUACGUGCCAGCAGCCGCGGUAAUACGUAGGGGGCAAGCGUUAUCCGGAUUUACUGGGUGUAAAGGGAGCGUAGACGGCAGCACAAGUCUGGAGUGAAAUCCCGGGGCUUAACCCCGGAACUGCUUUGGAAACUGUGCGGCUGGAGUGCAGGAGGGGUAAGCGGAAUUCCUAGUGUAGCGGUGAAAUGCGUAGAUAUUAGGAGGAACACCGGUGGCGAAGGCGGCUUACUGGACUGUAACUGACGUUGAGGCUCGAAAGCGUGGGGAGCAAACAGGAUUAGAUACCCUGGUAGUCCACGCCGUANACGAUGAUUACUAGGUGUCGGGGGAUNAAGGUCCUCCGGUGCCGGCGCAAACGCAUUAAGUAAUCCACCUGGGGAGUACGUUCGCAAG